rnacentral:tRNA from 1 species
GUCCAGGGUAGCCUAGUGGACAAGGCAUCUGCCCGGUAAGCGGAACAUUGUGGGUUCGAUUCCCUGGACA